rnacentral:rRNA from 1 species
GAUGAACGCUGGCGGCGUGCCUAAUACAUGCAAGUCGAGCGAACAGACGAGGAGCUUGCUCCUCUGACGUUAGCGGCGGACGGGUGAGUAACACGUGGAUAACCUACCUAUAAGACUGGGAUAACUUCGGGAAACCGGAGCUAAUACCGGAUAAUAUAUUGAACCGCAUGGUUCAAUAGUGAAAGACGGUUUUGCUGUCACUUAUAGAUGGAUCCGCGCCGCAUUAGCUAGUUGGUAAGGUAACGGCUUACCAAGGCGACGAUGCGUAGCCGACCUGAGAGGGUGAUCGGCCACACUGGAACUGAGACACGGUCCAGACUCCUACGGGAGGCAGCAGUAGGGAAUCUUCCGCAAUGGGCGAAAGCCUGACGGAGCGACGCCGCGUGAGUGAUGAAGGUCUUCGGAUCGUAAAACUCUGUUAUUGGGGAAGAACAAAUGUGUAAGUAACUAUGCACGUCUUGACGGUACCUAAUCAGAAAGCCACGGCUAACUACGUG